UUCUUAGAAACCUGAAAAUUAAUGCUAAAAAGAAAUCUGCUCAUUCAGCACAACAGUGGGACUGCUGCUGCUAACACUGCUUUAAGAAAAAUAAUCAGCACAUAAAUUUAAAGUAUUAUGGCAACUCUCAUCUUAAGAUGGCUGGCUGUGGAAAACAGAGGAGACAGUCUGAUAUUCAAGCAUCUUGUCACAGUCACUAGAAAUGGUUGAAGUUUAAAUACUUGUUAUUAAAUGUAUGAAACUGGUAGUGUCAGAGCCUGUUCUGCAAUUUGACAUAUGGUACAUCCUUGCAUAGUGUUUUACAAAACUUAACAUUACAUGAAGUGCAUAUGGAUGGGUUUCAAAAGCCAUUUGCCUCUCCUGUUGCCUCACUAAUUUAUUUUUGCUUUAAAAAUCUUCAUAAGCAGUCAGCAUUAGUAUAUUUUCAGCAUCAUCACCUAUGUACGGUGAAAUGCUAAUACAGCUUUCUUCUCCUCUUUUUAUGAUAGCUUCAUUCUGUAGCAGUGCAACUGAAAGCAAAACUGAGGAGCUCGUUGAGAGAUGUGAAUGUGUUAGAGAAGCAGUUAUGUAACUGUGAAAUGGAGAAAUCUAUAUUAAAAGGGUUGAUAAGGCAUUCCUCAUCUCGGCCUGUAAAGAGUCUGUGAAGCAGGGCCAUUGGACAUCUUAACAAGUGCCAUAGAGGCAUGGCACAUCCUCUGCAGUGUCUGAAGUUUGCAGACUUGUUUUCCCCCUGUAGCAAACAGGCAGAAAUCAAGCACCACAAAUGUCAGAGGAGACAGAAGUCUUUUCCAGUGACACUGGAGAGUCUCUGACUGGCAAUAAAGUACUGCUGUGGAAAGCCAAAAGGUAAAGAUCAUCAUCACUGUGUAUUUAUAUUGUUUUUUAAAACUUGAAUUCCUAAAGAAGCAAAGCAUAUGUAAUUUUUCUUUUGGCUUCUCUGUACAUACUUCUUCCAGCUAUCCAUCAAAACUUUUGAAUCCUAAAAUUUCAAAUAAUAUGGACAGGGUAGGUCUGAGAUUUUAAAAGUAAUGGAUUUUGAAGAGUAUUGUGAAAAUUUGUAUUUGGAUAGCUAAUAUUUGUGUCAUUGAGGACAAAACUACUUGUAUGAGUCAGUACAUGUUGAGCCAAUAUAUGUGCUGAAACAGCUGGUUAAUCACCAUGUGUGUGAUACCAGAGAGCUAUUUCACAUUUUGCCCAGCAGAAAGCUGAGAUAAAAGAAGGAGCUGUGGCAGCAACCUCUGUUGUAGUGUGUAAUCUACAGAAUUAGAGAAUUUUAGGAGAAAAGGGUUCAUUAGCUCUGUUGUUAAUGAACAAAUAUUUACUUUGUAUAAUUCCUGCUAUAUUUCAAAGUAAAAUAUUUAUGAUCACAGUUGAAAAUAUUGAUAGAAACAGAAUAAUAAAUUAAUUCCUUGCUUUUUAACUAAUUUUGACUAAUAUAUUUUAUUGAUACAUAUAUCUUUGUUGUAAAAAACUUUCUAAAAAUACAAUGCUUUUGAGAGGAUUGUGUCUGUUUCAGAAAAACUUUUAAUAAAAUAGAAAGACAGUUUAUUUACAUAUCAUAUGGUAUCUUCCUUAUGUAAGUCACAUAUGCUUUCUAAAAGGGGACAGUACUGAUCUAGAAAAACUAGAUUUUUUUUUCUAUUCACUGCAAACAAUGAAACUUCAAACAUGACUAUAAUUCUCUCUGUUUUGUGGAAGGAUUAUUUUAACAGAAACUUUUAAAAUCAAUGUGUACAUGAUUUAGUUCUGU
ensembl:lncRNA